rnacentral:rRNA from 1 species
ACUCCUACGGGAGGCAGCAGUAGGGAAUCUUCCACAAUGGGUGCAAACCUGAUGGAGCAAUGCCGCGUGAGUGAAGAAGGUCUUCGGAUCGUAAAGCUCUGUUGUUAGAGAAGAACACGUGCUAGGUAACUACUAGCGCCUUGACGGUAUCUAACCAGAAAGUCACGGCUAACUACGUGCCAGCAGCCGCGGUAAUACGUAGGUGACAAGCGUUGUCCGGAUUUAUUGGGCGUAAAGGGAGCGCAGGCGGUCUGUUUAGUCUAAUGUGAAAGCCCACGGCUUAACCGUGGAACGGCAUUGGAAACUGACAGACUUGAAUGUAGAAGAGGAAAAUGGAAUUCCAAGUGUAGCGGUGGAAUGCGUAGAUAUUUGGAGGAACACCAGUGGCGAAGGCGAUUUUCUGGUCUAACAUUGACGCUGAGGCUCGAAAGCGUGGGGAGCGAACAGGAUUAGAAACCCUUGUAGUCCC